rnacentral:RNase_P_RNA from 1 species
GCUGCAAACUAAGCUAUCGUGGCGCCUAUGGCGCCAAGGAAAGUCCGGACAGCACAGAGCAGCCCACCGGUGAAGAGCCGGGACUCGUCUUAGACGAGUACAGAUAGUGCCACAGAAAAUAACUACUCUGCCGCUCCUUCAGGAGAGGGUUGGGGUGAGGGUGAAAAUGUGAGGUAAGAGCUCACAACGAUUAAUGGCAACAUUAUUCGUGGGUAAACCUUGGGUGCUGAAAUGCCACGUAUAGUAACGACUGAGAAUGGCUCGUUCGAGUUACAGGGUAGGCAGAAACAGGUGAGCAGUAAUGUUCAUCGCAGAUAAAUGAUAGCUCACGACAGAAUCCGGCUUACAGGUUUGCAGCUUUU